CCUACGGGAGGCAGCAGUGGGGAAUAUUGGGCAAUGGAGGCAACUCUGACCCAGCAACGCCGCGUGAAUGAUGAAGGUCUUCGGAUUGUAAAGUUCUGUGAUGGGGGAUGAACACAAUGACGGUACCCCAAUAGCAAGCCACGGCUAACUACGUGCCAGCAGCCGCGGUAAUACGUAGGUGGCAAGCGUUAUCCGGAAUGACUGGGCGUAAAGGGUUCGUAGGUGGCAUAUUAAGUCUGGUGUUAAAUGCAGAAGCUCAACUUCUGUUCGGCACUGGAUACUGGUAAGCUUGAAUGCGGUAGAGGUAAGGGGAAUUCCUGGUGUAGCGGUGAGAUGCGUAGAUAUCAGGAGGAACAUCGGUGGCGUAAGCGCUUUACUGGGCCGUAAUUGACACUGAGGAACGAAAGCCGGGGUAGCAAAUGGGAUUAGAUACCCCUGUAGUC
rnacentral:rRNA from 1 species